UUUCUCGCAUAUGCAGCUGAAGUUGAAGACUUCAAUAGCAUGUCACAAGAGCAAAGUGGCGAGGAAACUGGUUUGGCUGAUGAUGCCCUUUCAGAUUUUGAUGAACAUAUCAAGCUUAAGAAAGCUAAUAGCUGCAACGAGCUGCAACGCUACCUAGAAGAAGACUUUCAUCCCCGUACACCCGAUUUCGACAUUUUGAAAUGGUGGGCUGUGAACUCUCCAAGGUAUCCAGUACUUGGCAACAUUGCCCGUGAUGUACUGGCUGUACCAGCUUCGACCGUUGCCUCUGAGUCUGCGUUUAGCACGUGCGGAAGAGUUAUAACUGAUCACAGAACUAGCCUUGGAGCCGAAAGUGUUGAAGCAUUGAUGUGUUUUGGGGAUUGGAUUAGGCGUGGUGAACCUUCUUGCGAAGAAAGCAAACCUCAUGAGGUUUCGUGAUUGUUCCAGCAAGAAAGGAUGGAAAGGUUGCCAGAGAUGAAGAAAAUGCAAGCAGAUCUCAUGGUCCAAGCAAAAGAGAGUGAAUGAAGAUCAUCCUAGUGUAUCAGGAUCCUAGUGUAAUAUUUUGGAGACCAGGGAUUUACUAAACUUGGGAUUUGCUGAUGCACUGAUAUUCCUGUGAUGCACGUACUGCUGAUUAACUAAGCUCCGGAUCAUUGGUUAUGACUUGUGAAGUGUUGUUUUGAACUGCUUAUACAUAUUUUGUAAUGGAUUUUCUUAUUUGUUAGCUUACGACAAUUGUCACUUAAACUGUGGAUUCUGUGGUGUUAAAGUUAACCUCUUAAAUUUGUUUAUGCUCAGUUUACAUUA